rnacentral:rRNA from 1 species
AGAGUUUGAUCCUGGCUCAGAAUCAACGCUGGCGGCGCGCUUAACACAUGCAAGUCGCACGAGAAAGUGGAGCAAUCCAUGAGUACAGUGGCGUACGGGUGAGUAACACGUGGAUCAUCUACCUCUUGAUGGGGAAUAACCCUGGGAAACCGGGGCUAAUACCGCAUAAGCCUGAAAAGGGAAAGCAGCAAUGCGUCGAGAGAGGAGUCCGCGGCCGAUUAGCUAGUUGGUAGGGUAAUGGCCUACCAAGGCAAUGAUCGGUAGCCGGCCUGAGAGGGCACACGGCCACACUGGCACUGAAACACGGGCCAGACUCCUACGGGAGGCAGCAGUGGGGAAUCUUGCACAAUGGGGGCAACCCUGAUGCAGCGACGCCGCGUGAGCGAUGAAGCCCCUCGGGGUGUAAAGCUCUUUCGGCAGGAACGAUUAUGACGGUACCUGCAGAAGAAGCUGCGGCUAACUACGUGCCAGCAGCCGCGGUAAUACGUAGGCAGCAAGCGUUGUUCGGAGUUACUGGGCGUAAAGAGUGUGUAGGCGGUUCUCUAAGUUCCGUGUGAAAUCUCCCGGCUCAACUGGGAGGGUGCGCGGAAAACUGGAGGGCUUGAGUAUGGGAGAGGAAAGCGGAAUUCCUGGUGUAGCGGUGAAAUGCGUAGAUAUCAGGAGGAACACCUGCGGUGUAGACAGCUUUCUGGACCAUCACUGACGCUGAGACACGAAAGCGUGGGUAGCAAACAGGAUUAGAUACCCUGGUAGUCCACGCCCUAAACGAUGCAUACUUGGUGUGAGCCGUUCAUUCGGUUCGUGCCGGAGCUAACGCGUUAAGUAUGCCGCCUGGGGAGUACGGUCGCAAGGCUGAAACUCAAGGAAUUGACGGGGGCCCGCACAAGCGGUGGAGCAUGUGGUUUAAUUCGACGCAACGCGAAGAACCUUACCUGGGCUCGAACGGCUUCGACAAACUGGUGGAAAAACG